GGUCAAUUGGUCUAGUGGUAUGAUUCUCGCUUAGGGUUUACUCUGAGUUGUGUGCGAGAGGCCCCGCGUUCGAAUCGCGGAUUGACCC
rnacentral:tRNA from 2 species